AUGGCCUCCCUCAUCGAUGUCCCCGCUUGCACCGGCGCAUUCUUAACGGGCACACUACACAGUUUUCAUCACCAGGCUCCAUGGCACUCGCUGCUACGACUUAGUCGCCUUGACGAAGACAGUGUACUCGGCGACAGUACGGAACUUGAAGCCGGAGUCGAUGGUGCAUGCAGUGGAGGCAUCGGUGAGCGUGGACGGAAAGCCGGGGCGAGCUUCCGACCUGCCGAGAAGCACAGCCAUGGGCGGAAAAUAGAGCAGGGGCGGAGCAGCUGCCCUUCUACGACAAAGGGGGAAGAGAGUUGCGGCGGAUCUAGCAGCGAGCACCGGAGGGUAGGGCGGAGCGUCGGCACUGAAGAAGAAAACGGGAUUUGGGACUGGCCUUGUUGCUUUGAGAUCCGCUCCGCUACGUGUCAGCUGCGGGAGGCGGUCGCGAUGCUCAAAGCACCAACAACAGACAUGUCACAACACUGCUCUCUCGUCGAAGAGAUUAGCAGCUUAGCACGCCGUCAUGCUAGAGAGCUUGUAUUCGUGCAGUGUAGCCGUUGGCAGAAUACCGCGAGUCAUGAGUUGGCCGCAUAUGGCCGUAGCACCCCACAUACGGCAGUCUGGUUCGCAGGAGGACCGGACUUUCUUGUAAACUUGGUUAAAGCCGAGAGGCCUCCUUGA
rnacentral:rRNA from 1 species